CCUACGGGUGGCAGCAGUGGGGAAUAUUGCACAAUGGGGGAAACCCUGAUGCAGCGACGCCGCGUGAGUGAAGAAGUUUCUCGGUAUGUAAAGCCUCAUUAGCAGGGAAGAAAAUGACGGUACCUGUCCAAGAAGCCGCGUCUAACUACGUGCCACCCGCCGGGGUUAAAAGUGGGGGGCAGGCGUUAUCCGGAUUUUCUGGGUGUAAAGGGGGUGUAGAGGGGAGCACAAGUCUGGAGUUAAAUGCCGGGGUUUAACCCCGGAACUGCUUUGGAAACUGUGGGGCUGGAGUGGAGGAGAGGUAAGCGGAAUUCCUGGUGUAGCGGUGAAAUGCGUAGAUAUUAGGAAGAACGCCGAUGGCGAAGGCGGCAUACUGGACUGUAACUGACGUUGAGGCUCGAAAGCGUGGGGAGCGAACAGGAUUAGAUACCCCUGUAGUC
rnacentral:rRNA from 1 species